AAAGAGGGAAAGACGAUCGCUCCGACUUGCCGGAGAGGAAAGUCCGAACAUCAUGAGCAGGAUACUUCCUAACGGGAAGAUUCAGUGAUGGAUAGCUAGUGCCACAGAAAACAAACCGUCCGCCAGCCGGCGGAUAAGGGUGAAAAGGUGGUGUAAGAGACCACCAGUAUUGAUGGUGACAUCAAUAGCUUGGUAAACCUUAUUCGAUGCAAGGUCAAAUAAGGGAGGACUUCUUAGGAAUACGAAUUGCUCAGUUCGUCAGACUCCUGGGUAGACCGCUAAAGGUCAUUCAUUGAGUUGGAAUUUACUUCUGCCUCGAUGAUUGAUUCAGAUAAAUGAUCGUCGUUCCAUCUAUUGAUGGAAAACAAAAUUCGGCUUAUUUCCCUCUUUAGAA
rnacentral:RNase_P_RNA from 1 species